UCCCUCUAGCACUCUCUUUCUCUAUCCUUCUACCCAUGUGUGCAUCUCUUUCUUUCACCCCUCUCUCUCUCCCUCUGUGCAGAUUCCCUCCUGGUUGGGUGGUUAUCUGGUAAUGUCGUCUCCCUCCCUCUGCUUGGUGCCAGCUCUAACAGUGGGGGCAUUCUUCUGUCAUUAGAGACCCUUCACAGGGAGUCCACUCAGCACGCCGACCCGCGUCUUCAAAGCCAACGCCGUCGUUUGUCUCUUCUCCUCCUCUCCCCUCCUCUCCUAUCAUCUUUCUAAACCCCGAUCCAACGUCUUUCUAUGAUCUUAUAGUGUUUACUGUACACCGCUUCGUGGCCACUUGGAAACAGCUUUGGGCAAAUAUUUUCCUUUCAUGAAUAUACUGUCGUUAAGUAGUGACCUCAUAGGUGUGACCUCAUAGGUGUUGGAACACUGUCGAAAUGUUAAUUGCUGCGCUAUGAGGGCCUCUCCUCGUUGCAUUCCUUCCUCUCUGGAAUCUGGCAGGAGGAACACAGACAGACAUAGUGGAGAGAGACUGUCUGCGUCUCAAAUGGCAUCUUAUUCCCUAUGUAGUGCUCUACUUACCCUAUAGGCCCUGGGCAAAAGUCGUGCACUAUACAGGGAAUAGGGUACCAAUUUGAGACGCAGACAGUGUCUGGGUCGCGGCAGGCUGAGACGUAGUAGGAGACACUGAGGGCUGAUAUCUGUUGAAGUAGGGAAGGAGUUUUCGUGGAGUCCUCACACUGGACUGGAGUCCUCACACUGGACUGGAGUCCCCACACUGGACUGGAGUCCUCACACUGGACUGGAGUCCCCACACUGGACUGGAGUCCUCACUCUGGACUGGAGUCCUCACACUGGACUGGAGUCCCCACACUGGACUGGAGUCCUCACACUGGACUGGAGUCCUCACACUGGACUGAAGUCCUCACACUGGACUGGAGUCCUCACUCUGGACUGGAGUCCUCACACUGGACUGGAGUCCUCACACUGGACUGGAGUCCUCACACUGGACUGGAGUCCUCACACUGGACUGGAGUCCUCACACUGGACUGGAGUCCUCACACUGGACUGGAGUCCUCACACUGGACCAGAAGAUUUGGAUGCAGCUCCGUUCCCUGGAGGGUGAACCUGCAAUCGUCUGGGUCUAUGUUUAGCUCAGGGCUGGAACAGUGAACAGCGACCCAGUCACCUCCGUGCCUCCCUGCCUGCCAGCCCUUACACUUAGCCCUGCUCUACAGUAACCCAGCCAGCUCACUAACUACUGUCUUCACCAGGUCUGCAGGGAACACAUCCUGUGUCAUGUUCCAGCCAGCUCACUAACUACUGUCUUCACCAGGUCUGCAGGGAACACAUCCUGUGUCAUGUUCAGAUGCACUAAAUGGGGAAAGAAUAAACUGAGGAGGCACAUUCAUCUUAAAUAAUUUUGUCUUGAUUGUUCCUUUGAAUGGAACUCUACAGUACCAGACGUGUUUAUUAAUGCAGACAUUAGGAUUAGCAUUCACUUCCAUUGUUUAGAUGCUUAUCCUAUGGAGUGCUGGGGGUCUAUUCAGUCAGUCCCUGACGCUGUUUCAGCACGUCAGCUAUGUAACUGAAGACUGCAGUGCUAAAUGGAAAUGCUGCAUUUCAUAGUCACUAAUAAGGCUGUGUUNNNNNNNNNNNNNNNNNNNNNNNNNNNNNNNNNNNNNNNNNNNNNNNNNNNNNNNNNNNNNNNNNNNNNNNNNNNNNNNNNNNNNNNNNNNNNNNNNNNNAAGGGAGAAGGAGAUGAAGGGAAAUGGAGAGAGAGAGAGAGGCAGAAAGGGUAAAGGAGAUGAAGGGAAAUGGAGAGAGAAGGAGAGAGGGAGAGAGGCAGAAAGGGAGAAGGAGAUGAAGGGAAAUGGAGAGAGAAGGAGAGAGGGAGAGAGGCAGAAAGGGAGAAGGAGAGAGGGAGAAAGGGAGAGAGAGGGAGAGAGGCAGAAAGGGAGAAGGAGAUGAAGGGAAAUGGAGAGAGAAGGAGAGAGGGAGAGAGGCAGAAAGGGAGAAGGAGAGAAGGAACAGAAUAGGGAGAUAUAGAAGACAAUAGGAUGAGUCAUUGUAAUAACUGUAAUAAUGGAUUGAAUUAAAAAGUGUUUCAAUCUUUCCAUUCAUUCCAUUACAAUGAGCCCCAUCCAACGAUUUGUCCAAUCACAAGCCUCCGCUGGAUGAGUUGGUGAGAUAGGCUUGAGGACCUUACA
rnacentral:lncRNA from 13 species